UACGGGGGGGGCAAGCGUUGUUCGGAAUUACUGGGCGUAAAGGGUUCGUAGGUGGCUCGCUAAGUCAGACGUGAAAUCCCUCAGCUUAACUGGGGAACUGCGUCUGAGACUGGCAAGCUCGAGUGCAGGAGAGGAACGCGGAAUUCCAGGUGUAGCGGUGAAAUGCGUAGAUAUCUGGAGGAACACCGGUGGCGAAGGCGGCAUCCUGGACCGACACUGACGCUGAGGCUCGAAAGCGUGGGGAGCAAACAGG
rnacentral:rRNA from 1 species